GGGUUGUGAGGUUAAGCGACUAAGCGUACACGGUGGAUGCCCUGGCAGUCAGAGGCGAUGAAGGACGUGCUAAUCUGCGAUAAGCGUCGGUAAGGUGAUAUGAACCGUUAUAACCGGCGAUUUCCGAAUGGGGAAACCCAGUGUGAUUCGUCACACUAUCAUUAACUGAAUCCAUAGGUUAAUGAGGCGAACCGGGGGAACUGAAACAUCUAAGUACCCCGAGGAAAAGAAAUCAACCGAGAUUCCCCCAGUAGCGGCGAGCGAACGGGGAGCAGCCCAGAGCCUGAAUCAGUGUGUGUGUUAGUGGAAGCGUCUGGAAAGGCGCGCGAUACAGGGUGACAGCCCCGUACACAAAAAUGCACAUGCUGUGAGCUCGAUGAGUAGGGCGGGACACGUGGUAUCCUGUCUGAAUAUGGGGGGACCAUCCUCCAAGGCUAAAUACUCCUGACUGACCGAUAGUGAACCAGUACCGUGAGGGAAAGGCGAAAAGAACCCCGGCGAGGGGAGUGAAAAAGAACCUGAAACCGUGUACGUACAAGCAGUGGGAGCACGCUUAGGCGUGUGACUGCGUACCUUUUGUAUAAUGGGUCAGCGACUUAUAUUCUGUAGCAAGGUUAACCGAAUAGGGGAGCCGAAGGGAAACCGAGUCUUAACUGGGCGUUAAGUUGCAGGGUAUAGACCCGAAACCCGGUGAUCUAGCCAUGGGCAGGUUGAAGGUUGGGUAACACUAACUGGAGGACCGAACCGACUAAUGUUGAAAAAUUAGCGGAUGACUUGUGGCUGGGGGUGAAAGGCCAAUCAAACCGGGAGAUAGCUGGUUCUCCCCGAAAGCUAUUUAGGUAGCGCCUCGUGAAUUCAUCUCCGGGGGUAGAGCACUGUUUCGGCAAGGGGGUCAUCCCGACUUACCAACCCGAUGCAAACUACGAAUACCGGAGAAUGUUAUCACGGGAGACACACGGCGGGUGCUAACGUCCGUCGUGAAGAGGGAAACAACCCAGACCGCCAGCUAAGGUCCCAAAGUCAUGGUUAAGUGGGAAACGAUGUGGGAAGGCCCAGACAGCCAGGAUGUUGGCUUAGAAGCAGCCAUCAUUUAAAGAAAGCGUAAUAGCUCACUGGUCGAGUCGGCCUGCGCGGAAGAUGUAACGGGGCUAAACCAUGCACCGAAGCUGCGGCAGCGACGCUUAUGCGUUGUUGGGUAGGGGAGCGUUCUGUAAGCCUGCGAAGGUGUGCUGUGAGGCAUGCUGGAGGUAUCAGAAGUGCGAAUGCUGACAUAAGUAACGAUAAAGCGGGUGAAAAGCCCGCUCGCCGGAAGACCAAGGGUUCCUGUCCAACGUUAAUCGGGGCAGGGUGAGUCGACCCCUAAGGCGAGGCCGAAAGGCGUAGUCGAUGGGAAACAGGUUAAUAUUCCUGUACUUGGUGUUACUGCGAAGGGGGGACGGAGAAGGCUAUGUUGGCCGGGCGACGGUUGUCCCGGUUUAAGCGUGUAGGCUGGUUUUCCAGGCAAAUCCGGAAAAUCAAGGCUGAGGCGUGAUGACGAGGCACUACGGUGCUGAAGCAACAAAUGCCCUGCUUCCAGGAAAAGCCUCUAAGCAUCAGGUAACAUCAAAUCGUACCCCAAACCGACACAGGUGGUCAGGUAGAGAAUACCAAGGCGCUUGAGAGAACUCGGGUGAAGGAACUAGGCAAAAUGGUGCCGUAACUUCGGGAGAAGGCACGCUGAUAUGUAGGUGAAGUCCCUCGCGGAUGGAGCUGAAAUCAGUCGAAGAUACCAGCUGGCUGCAACUGUUUAUUAAAAACACAGCACUGUGCAAACACGAAAGUGGACGUAUACGGUGUGACGCCUGCCCGGUGCCGGAAGGUUAAUUGAUGGGGUUAGCGCAAGCGAAGCUCUUGAUCGAAGCCCCGGUAAACGGCGGCCGUAACUAUAACGGUCCUAAGGUAGCGAAAUUCCUUGUCGGGUAAGUUCCGACCUGCACGAAUGGCGUAAUGAUGGCCAGGCUGUCUCCACCCGAGACUCAGUGAAAUUGAACUCGCUGUGAAGAUGCAGUGUACCCGCGGCAAGACGGAAAGACCCCGUGAACCUUUACUAUAGCUUGACACUGAACAUUGAGCCUUGAUGUGUAGGAUAGGUGGGAGGCUUUGAAGUGUGGACGCCAGUCUGCAUGGAGCCGACCUUGAAAUACCACCCUUUAAUGUUUGAUGUUCUAACGUUGACCCGUGAUCCGGGUUGCGGACAGUGUCUGGUGGGUAGUUUGACUGGGGCGGUCUCCUCCUAAAGAGUAACGGAGGAGCACGAAGGUUGGCUAAUCCUGGUCGGACAUCAGGAGGUUAGUGCAAUGGCAUAAGCCAGCUUGACUGCGAGCGUGACGGCGCGAGCAGGUGCGAAAGCAGGUCAUAGUGAUCCGGUGGUUCUGAAUGGAAGGGCCAUCGCUCAACGGAUAAAAGGUACUCCGGGGAUAACAGGCUGAUACCGCCCAAGAGUUCAUAUCGACGGCGGUGUUUGGCACCUCGAUGUCGGCUCAUCACAUCCUGGGGCUGAAGUAGGUCCCAAGGGUAUGGCUGUUCGCCAUUUAAAGUGGUACGCGAGCUGGGUUUAGAACGUCGUGAGACAGUUCGGUCCCUAUCUGCCGUGGGCGCUGGAGAACUGAGGGGGGCUGCUCCUAGUACGAGAGGACCGGAGUGGACGCAUCACUGGUGUUCGGGUUGUCAUGCCAAUGGCACUGCCCGGUAGCUAAAUGCGGAAGAGAUAAGUGCUGAAAGCAUCUAAGCACGAAACUUGCCCCGAGAUGAGUUCUCCCUGACCCUUUAAGGGUCCUGAAGGAACGUUGAAGACGACGACGUUGAUAGGCCGGGUGUGUAAGCGCAGCGAUGCGUUGAGCUAACCGGUACUAAUGAACCGUGAGGCUUAACCUUACAACGCCGAAG
rnacentral:rRNA from 1 species